AUUGAACGCUGGCGGCAUGCCUAACACAUGCAAGUCGAACGGUAACGCAAGAAGCUUGCUUCUUGGCGACGAGUGGCGGACGGGUGAGUAAUGCUUAGGAAUCUGCCCAGUAGUGGGGGACAACUCGGGGAAACUCGAGCUAAUACCGCAUACGCCCUACGGGGGAAAGCGGGGGAUCUUCGGACCUCGCGCUAUUGGAUGAGCCUAAGUCGGAUUAGCUUGUUGGUAGGGUAACGGCCUACCAAGGCGACGAUCCGUAGCUGGUCUGAGAGGACGAUCAGCCACACUGGGACUGAGACACGGCCCAGACUCCUACGGGAGGCAGCAGUGGGGAAUAUUGGACAAUGGGGGCAACCCUGAUCCAGCAAUGCCGCGUGUGUGAAGAAGGCCUGCGGGUUGUAAAGCACUUUCAGUAGAGAAGAAAAGCUUAGGGUUAAUACCCCUGAGUCUUGACGUAACCUACAGAAGAAGCACCGGCUAACUCCGUG
rnacentral:rRNA from 1 species